UGAUCACAUUUCCCUAUCACCUUUUUCCCUCACAUAUAUCAAAUCGUUACAGUAAUUUUUCCAUGAAAAAUGACGGAAAAUGCAAUCCAAACACAACCCUAGGUUCUCAAUUUGGCCAAAACCCGGUUCUUCUCUCCAGUCUCCUCACCUUCCUUCUCCAGUCCGGCUUCCAGUCUCUUCUUCUUUCUUCUGUUCUUGAAGAUCAGUCAUCCGUGUUUUAUUCUCUGCUCUUAGCUAGGGUUCCCUUCUUUUUCUCUUGCUCUCUCUCUAUAUCCAUUUUGGCUGUAGUGCCAGCUAUUGUGUGUGGUGUGUGUGUGUGUUUUUUUUUUCUUUCCGGGAGUUGUAGUUUCCUUAGAUUCCGAUCCAUCAUUGUGCUGAAUUAAAGGAUGAUGAUGAUGAUGAGUGUGGGGUGAGUUCCCUCUCAUGUAUGGUCUGACUCGAAGCAAAACUUGUACAGUUUGUGGAUAUCCCGAGGUACUCAAACCAAACCAAAUCUCAUUUUUUUUCUUUUUUAUCCAUGAAAAGCAGGUGGUUGUGGAAGAUGGCUUUGUCUUUUAAGUUGCUAUUAUUUCUUCAUUUCUUGACUUAAUAGAUGAGUACUGAUUGAACCUUCUUUCCUUUUUUUUCCUUUUCUCCUCACAUGAAAGGUUUAGGCAUCAUGCGGUUCGUUUUGGUGAGGAUUCUGGAUAAGGAAUUUUCUUCAUGCUCUGUCUCUCCCUCUAUGUGAUGGCUGGAUUCUGAUUUAACUGCAAAUUCGAUAAACCCCAAAGAAUAAAAAGAAAGUAGUAAAAGAUAUGUUCUGUUUCUACUGUAUCCGAAAUGCUACUACUAGUAGUUAGUUGGUCCAGUGUAUUCUUUAUUCUAAUACCAGUGUUCCUACCUAAGUAGUAUCAAUUAGUCUUUUGGUUGAGUUUUGACUUGAGUGCUAAGUAUUAUUUUGGGUAACAGAGGCGGAUCCGCAUCGAAUUCUGUGGUUACUGCUUCUUCUCUUUUGCAGUACCUCUACUAUUGACUACUUACCAGGUAUCGCCCUCCACCACCACCAUAACCACCACGGCCCACAAGAUUUUUCUGCUGUUUGAUGAUGUGGCCGCAGAUGAAAGAAAGCUCCUUUUCUAUCCCUUGCUCGUCCGAGAGGAUUUAAAGCAGCGUUAGCCGACGACAUAGCCACCCUCUGGUCCUCUCAGUGUAGAUGGACACUUACUCCUCUGGAGAAGAACUGAUAAUUAAAGUACACAUAAGCUCCCUCUCUCCCCAACCCCCCACCUUUCUUACAUUUUUUAAUUGUGACCAGCUAGGUGCUUCAUCCUCACUGGUCCAGCCACCUCAAUUUUGCUGCUCUCCCUCUCUUCCAGGCCAGGAAGCCUUACACUAUAACUAAGCAACGUGAGCGGUGGACCGAGGAGGAGCAUAAUAGGUUCCUAGAAGCCUUGAAGCUGUACGGACGUGCUUGGCAGCGUAUAGAAGGUUACCAAUCUCCUUCCUUUUGAUGCUUUAUCACAGUUGAUAUCUCCAUCUGGGCUCUCUCUCUCUCAUUUGAUUGCUUUCUUUUUAUGUUUUUCAAGGUUGCUACUUUUGUGGUUUCCCUUAAAAUUCUUCUCAUCUUUUCUUGUUGGAGUAUCAUGCCAUGUGCUCCUUCCGAUGUAUAAUACUUGCUCUUACUUAGACAACUGUUCUUGCUCCUUUUUCUUUUUUGUUGUUUUCUAUCUGGUGGUUUGCAGAACAUAUAGGAACAAAGACUGCUGUGCAGAUCAGAAGUCAUGCACAGAAAUUCUUUACAAAGGUCAAGCACUACCUUCUUAUUCUAUGCUUGUCUGAGGGUCGCUUUACCUGUUCCUUUUCUUAGGCCGUAUCACAUUGGAAGCUUAUUUGCCAUGGAUUUCAUUUCACCAUUUGCUCACCCAUGGAAGUUCUAUUAAUUUUCAUUUUAAGUUUCGCAAAUUUUCUUGUGUGCUACUUUUACCCUGGGGAUCAUGAACUGCAUUUGCCAGUAAAACUGCAGUGGACAUUAAGAGCUAACCUUGCUAUAACAUUUUUCUGUUCUGAACUAAAUAAUAUUGCAACUUCUAGGGCCUGAGCAUGAGUAGUGCCAUGAAAAGGCCAUCUAGUAUUGAGUGUUUUCCAAAUUCUCCAUUUUAUCCAUUAUUCAGGAAUCAUAUUGGUUAAUGGAGAAAUAGCUUCGUGAUUGUGUAUGAAAGCAAAACUUUGGUAAAGCAAUCUGAUCUACUUAUAAAUCUGUAAAUCUUCUAAUUUUGAGAAUUAAAUAUAAGUUUGCUUCAAAUUCAUAAUGUAAGUGAAUGUUAUCGUUCUUGAAAAUAAAAGAUGGUUUGUUAUAGUUGUACUCAUCUUUAGUGAUAAUUCUGUAUAAAUGAAGAGUGCAGCAAUUAUGAUUGCUGGAUAUUUAUAUUAAUUUAUGUAGUUAAUCCAUUAUAUAUUACCUCUUCAGCAUAAACAUGCAUACGUGAAAAAGAUAAGAGUUCUUUAGGUUUGUAUGGAAGAAUUGACCGAUUGCACUUCAGAUCAGAAUAGGUGGGUUUAUGCCUUCCUUCUUAUUGCACUUUCAUUUUGUGACGCAUUUUCUCCAUUUCCCAUGUUUGGGCCAGAGUUAUUCCAGUGCUACCUGUAGUAAAGGAACAAUGGUCAAAAGUACUUGAUGGUUAGACUAAAUCACCUGACUGUGGCAAAAAUGAAUAAUCCAGAACUCAGAGUUAUCUUAUAGGGUAUCUCUGGUCAACGUGCUUUACAAGGUCUAAUGCAUGUAUAACAUCCUUACCAACAUGGGAGAAUAAGUUUAAAGAGUGAACAAGCACACAAAUUUUUGUAAAUUUUGGUAGAUUAGACGGAAAAAAGUUAGAUUUCUUACAUAAAUUGUUGAUACCUACAAGGGUAUAAUGUGCUAUAAAAUGUUUCUGAAGGAAUUUUUGUAAAUAAAAUGCGGAAAUAUAUCAUCUUCAACCUACUUUUUAUUGCAGAUAACAUUUAACGAGGUACACAUUUUAAGUCUCUUUAUUUGAGUUGGAAUUUCACAUUCAUGCAAUCUUUACCAUCUUCUUUUGUCAUAUUUCAAUUAUUCAUCCUUAGGCAUAUCUCUCAUUUUCCCCUCCAAAGCCAUAUGGGCAAAGCACAAAAGCAUCCAUAAAUGUGUGUUUUUUUUAAAAAAUUUUUAAAAAAGUUUAUUGGACCUCCUUUGACCACUUCCUACAGCCAAGCACCAGAUCUAUUAUUUUUUGAGUGGCUUUCCUAAAACAUGCCUCAAUGAUUUCAGCGCUAUACUCAUAUUUUAUAGUGUUCCUUUGGAAUAUUUCACAGUCUUCACUAUCUUCUUUUGUCAUAUUUCAACUAUUCAUUGUUUGGCAUAACUCUCAUUUUCCCCUCCAAAGCCAGAUGGGCAAAAAAGAAAGCAUCCUUAAAUGUGUGUGUGUGUGUUUUUUUUUGAAUUUUGCUGGAUCUCCUUUGAACACUUCCUACGGCCAAGCACCAGAUCUAUUAUUUUGUGUGUUUUUCCUAAAACAUACCUCAAUGAUUUCAGCACUAUUCCCGUAUUUCAUAGUGUUCCUUUGCUUCACCUAAUAUGUUUUUGCAUUUUGGAGAUGUUUCUAGCCUACAUGGCUUAGAUCCAUGCAUAUUUUUAGAGUUAAUCUUACACACAUUGACAGUGUAUACACUAUCAUUGUUGGAUGCUUGGCACAUAUGCAAAUUUUAGAUUUCAAAUUCAAUUUCAGAUUUGUUGCCAUGCAUCCAACGGUGAUAAUGUACAUACUGUCAGCAUAUUGAAGAUUAAUCCAUAUUUUUAUCAAUUAUCAAUAACUUUGAGGCAUUAUUCUGUAAUGCCAGAAACAAUCCUUCGGUUUGUGGGCUAUUGCCCGGGGCGGAGUUUACCUAGUGCGCACUCUCGGGUAGCGGCUGCGGGUUCCCUUGUCAAAAAAUAAAAAUAAAAAUCCUUCAGUUUGAACAAAUUUAUGUUUUGUCAUGCCAUUUUAUUACUUGUUGAACAGGAGUGGAAAUAUGAGGAAACAUAUUCAUGUAUAUGUUUGAAGAGUUUUUUUUUUUUUUUUUAUACCCAAAAAAUUUGGUGUAUAAGGCUUCGGUAAUCAAAAUCUAAUUCAGAGUAAAGAUACUUAAAAAAACUUAAGUGAAAUGGAAAUAGAAUGAUACAUGUUCAGGCUAGACCAUUUAACUCUUGGUAGAUAACGUGUCAUGUAAUCCAAUUCGGAAUCAAGAUAGAGCAGCUGUGAUGAGGUAUUUAUCCCUGCGCAUCAGCCACUGCAGAAUAAUUAAAAGAGCUACAAUUAAAUGAGUGUUUUUCAUGUAUUGACAAUUGGCUAAAACAGCUUAUUGUAUAAAAACUUAACUGAAGAAUAAUGAGUGUUUAUCUUGUAUUGACAAUUAGCUAAGACAGCUACAAUUAAAUGUCUUUGUUUAGUACAACAAAGUUUCUUCAGCAUCAAGUUACUGCAGUAGUGUGUUACAACCACAAUUAAGAGGCUGACAUGGUAUUUGAUGAAACACCUAUAGCAAUUUGACUAGACCUAUAUCUGUAGUAGCUUUUUGAGCUCUGUGAGUUAAUCCAAUCUGUAGGAUGAAUUUUUAAUGCUGUGAAGUUAUUUGAAACAUGAAUUUUAGUGCAUCUCAGUUGGAUGGCAUCGGAAGAGAUUGUAGCGCUGAAAAUCCUUAUGUGUCCUUACGUGUUCUCUCUUUUUCCUCUUUUUUUUUUUAUGGGCAUCAGCCACUGCAGAAUAAUGAAUACAGCCUAGGACAUUAUAAAAGAUUAACUGAAGAAUAAUGAGUGUUUGUCUUGUAUUGACAAUUAGCUAAGGCAGCUCUCCAAUUAAAUGUCUUUGUUUAGUAUAACAAAGUUUCUUCAACACCAAGUUGCUGCAGCAGUUGGUACAACCACAAUUAGGAGACUGACAUGGUAUUUGAUGAAAAACCUAUUACAAUCUGACUAAACCAUUGCCUGUGGUAGCUUUUUGAGUUCUGUGAGUUAAUCCAAUCCAUAGGAUUUUCAAUGCUGUCAAGUUAUUUGAAACAUGAAUUUUAGUUCAUGUCAGUUGGAUGGCAUUGGAAGGGAUUGUAGCUUGAAAAUCCUUGUGUUUGUGUGUGUGUUUUUUUUGUUGGGGGGGGGGUGUGGGUGGUUGUGUGGGAAGAGGUUCUUGCUAUUGAAGAAGUUUUGACUUUUAACCAGCAAGCUUACCUGAGUAUCACAACAACAAAUGUAAUUUUUUUCUCUGAAGAAAAGGAAUGUAGAAAGGGAUGUCUGAGUAUUCCAGUCUGUCAACUACAUAUUGGGUAACAAUUGUUCGAAGGAAAGUUCUGUAUAGCACUGAAUCCUUUUCAUGAAGUUGUGUGAAACUUGUUGUUAGCAAGUCAUUAGUAAUGUGAGGAGAAAGUCUUGAAAUAUGAUGGAAAAUAAUAAAAUUCCUUUUACUUGAUUUUACUACUGCAGAAGAACCAAGCAAGCAAGCUAGUGGUUGUUCUUUUAUUAGUUUACUAUGUUAUAUAGAUGGCAACCUUCUAGAAGUGGUUGAGGUGUUUCUACAAGUUUGAUUUUCUUGCUUUCUAAAGUAUGUUAGAACAGCUGUGUGGUUCAAGAAGUGCAAUUUCUUCCAUGUCAAAUAUGGAAGCUGGAAUUUAAGAUCUGUAACGCUCUAAAAGAAAGAGCUUAUAAAUAAGGAAUAGAGAGAUGGGUAGCCUUAGAUUGUUUUUGAAAUUUUACGUUCACAUAUUGUUGAUUAUCAAUGUUUAUGUUGUUUUAUUUAAAAAUUAUUUUAGCAGGGGAGGGGUGCUUUUCUAGAAGCGGGAAGGGAAAAGGGGGAUUUGAAGAACAAUGUUUACUUAAUUAACUGAUAAUGCAUGAUAUUGUUAAAGGUUUUUAGGUCCCACAUUCUUAGGUUUUGCUACAUCAAGUGGGAAAAUUACUGGUCUUCAAGGUGUUAAAUAUAGGUUCUUACGGCCUUUGAGUGGCAGACAAAUACUCACAAAGGAAGAGUCCACUGAUUUGCUCUAAGAGUUGAUGAGCAGUUCCUGGAACCUAAGUCCAGUUAAGAUGACUAUCACAUUUAUUAAACUUAAAAAUUAGAAACUAACCAUAAUUAGAAUGAUGUCUAAGCAGUCAGCUUUCUAGGACUGUAUAUUUUAAGAUCAUUAUAUCUUGCAACUGAUUGCUUCUAAAAUAAGUGAGCAUCCAGGAAAUGAGAUUUGUCCAGAUUGUUGAUUGGAAGUGAAGGGGACUGAGUGCUCAGUGUUUUAGCUAUCACUUAUGUUACUCAUCCCAUCAUACCCAAGCUGAUUAACAGAUACCUGCAUCCCAUCAUACCUGAUUAACAACUAUGUUCCGGUUGUUUGAGUCUGUACCUUGCUACAGUUCUAAAUUUAGUUGUCCCUGUGUAAGUCAUGUAAUAAUCUAGUUAAAGUUUUGUCAUAAUUAUGCAAGUUGCCUUGUUUAUUAUAUAAUUAGUGUGGUUUUGGCAUUUAAAUUCUUGGAGAAUCCACUCUUGUAAGUGUUUCUAUCAUAUUGGUUGAGGAAUUAUAGUUGUGAAGUGCCUAAAGCUUAUAGUGUAGUGUCAAAAUUGUUGGCCUCAUUCAAGAGGAGGUAUUACUGAUGGUAAGAGGUCACUAGGUCUAAGGGCUGAUUUUAGGGGGUACACUUUGGAGAAAUUUUCCAUUUUGGUUGCCAAGAAUUUGAAAAAUAAAGAAAGAAGAAGACCAAAAAAAAAACAUGGUAAUUAAGUGGUAUUAAAGACAGAAUAGGAAUUUUCUUUGUAAAUUGCAUAUUUUUUGAUAACCAUCAAUUAAACCAAAGUAGUAAGUGUCUGCUGUCAUGCAUCAGCAUUGUUCAUCAUGAAGCUGCUUUUCAUUGCAAGCUAUUAGCACAAUGUUACGAUGUGUAAGGCUGGUUCUUUCAAAUCGGUAGUUAUUUGUUCAUUGCCUUGCUUUCAAACUGUCCUCACUCAUGAAUGAGAAGAAGAGAAGGUUGAAAGGAUUGUAUUGUUAAUUAGCUUUGUCAAUAUUCUCAUUGUAGUUGGAAAACUGCACACAACACAAUUGCUGGUGUUUGGUGUAUUGAUCUCCUUGAUUCUGUACCGGGAUGGCUAUCAGUCAAGUUUAGCUAAAAGUUCUUGUUCGCAGCAAAUAUCACUUCUCACUACUUCCUUCAGUCAUAUUACAUUCUAGGGCCCAUCUUUUGAAACCUCUGCCACCUGCUCGACCAAGCUCAAGUCCGACUCAAAAUUUGAAUGAACAUUGAAUGCUGUUGUGCUUGGCUUAAUUAGUUGGCAAACCAACUAAAGUUUACAGGUUCAAUAGUGCAAUAUCCAUAACAUGUAUACGGACAAAACUGUUAAGGAAUCAAGAUGAUCUGUUCUCUUUUUAUUCCAUGUUGCAGUACUACUAGUUUACCUUCUUCUUUUGUUGAAAAUUUGAUGAGCUAAAUUGAUCAUAAUGGUUUGCUUUUUUUCUUUUUCUUUUUUUUUUGAGGCUGUAAUGCUUUGCCUUAUAAUGAAUUGCCACAAAGAAAGUGUUGCAAGUUCCAUAAUGUAAUAUUCAUUAAGUGUGGUCAAAGAAAAUUGUCAAGGAAUUAAAUCCAUUGGUGAUUUACUGUCUUUUGAUAUCAUGUUGCAGUACUAUUUUAUCUUUUAUUUCUUGUUGAUUAGCAUAGAUCAACCGUUCAUAUUGUUGUGUUUUAUAAUAUCAGUGAAGAAAAUGUUACAAUUGUUUCUUAAAAUGUUGUAGUUAUACUUCGCUCGGAAAAAAUUUUCAUCCAUAUUAGCAAUCUGAAAGUUCUCAAUAUAGUAAAGUAUAAUAUAAGGGAAGUUGGUUGUAGCUAUGCAGGAAAUUAUUUGGUGUUGUUUUGAAGUUGAGGUUCUUUAUCAUCUUAUGCAUAGGCACAACGAAACCUAUGCAACCUAAAGAAGUAGAUUGUUUGUGUACUUAUCCAACGUGUAUCUAUUUGUUGUUUUAGAUAUAUGUAGCAUUUAUUUCCACUCUGCCUAGGAACUUGAGUUUAUUGGGUGUCCAAAUGUUGUUGAUUACAGAUUAUAUAGGAUCCAACUUCUGAAUUGAGACUGCCUGCAUAUUUUGUCUUUUCUGGCCUCUGUGAUCUUCCAUUUUCAAUCUUUUGAUGGUUAUAGCUAGGGUUGAUAACCUAUAACCCUCCUGUGGCUUAGUGUUGUACCACAUAAAUUGCAUAUGGUUUUGAAAUGGCCAUUUUAUCCCUUUGAAUUAAUGUAUAUAUAUAUCAAGUUUUAGGUUAAAGUUAAUGAUCAAAACUGAAAAGUCAACAUUUUUUACAUCUUAUCACAAAAUGGCAAACAAAGCCUGUAAAAUAUAUUUUUUAGGUUUUAGAAAUAGAAUAAGUCUAACUCUUGCUUCAUUGGAGAUGGAAAGAAAAAUUACAUAAUCAUCCCACCAAGGUCUUCUAUGUAUUCCAGUUUCUGUCCUCAUCCUACUUAGUCCCUAAUCAGCAGCCAUGCAAGUCACUCAACUUCAUACCAGCAAUAUCUCCUCUGACUCAAAGUAGGGAUAUGCCCGGAUUUUGGACCAUUUUAAGAAAUCACUGUCGGCAUACUCUGGAACUAUCUUUGGAACAAUAUUUUGUGGGCUGGACUGUCUCAAGACUACCUACCUACCAUCAAUCCUGAAUUUUCAUUGGUGGACUUUUUGCUUGAAAAUUAGGAUUUAUGUACUUUAUGUACCUUAAUGUGCCAUGCCCCUAAUUUCUCAACUUGUAUGACUGGUGCUUGGGCACUCUCUUGUUAGUGGUUGAGGUGUAUUACCAUUGUGAAUUUUGUAUUUUUUUCCUAAACGUAAACAAACUGAUGUCAUCCUUGAAGGUUAGUUUUGUGGUUUCAUUUGAGUGACAUAUCACCUUUCCCCAUAAGGACUGGGGUGUGAAAGGCCCACCAUGACAACCAUGUAUUGCAUGAUUAGACCAGGCUUGACAUGAUUCAUACAUUUACCUGGGAGAAUGUGAUUUAGGAAACUUCUAAAGUUUUGGUUGCUGACACCGUCAGGAAAGGACAAAUUAGUAACUCAUGUAAGUUUGAGGAAUGUGUGCAUCACUGGUAUCCGUGUUCAGAGAGGACGUGAAGUAAGAAAAGGUGUGGUCUUCUAUUCUCGAACCCUAAUUACGUACCUUAAAACUUUUGAUGAGAGCUUGACAAAGGAGAAGAGCAGUACUAUAAUGACAAAAUGGGAAAACAAGGUAAAAUGAAGAGCAUAUGUAAGAACUUUCACACAUUUAAUCAAAUUACAACUGAAGGAUUAUGCCAAGGCUGUGUAUGAGCAACAAAAGGAGAUACCAAAUGUGUGUAAGUAGUGAUGUUAAUUUUGGUUCACAGUCAUAGUUGUAUGUCCUACGAGGUUUUCAGUAUACCUUUGCUGUUCAAAUGUCGAACUCAUUUAAAAGUAUAAUGCUGACUGGAGAGUCCUCUCUGGUUCUAACAAGUACUUUUUCGUUAAGCCCAUUGAAUUAGCAUUCGCGAGUCUUUCAAUUGCCUCUUAUCAUGCGAAUAAAGGGGGCAUUUUUAGUGGAUCAAGAUUAAUGGUAUAAAUAUUGGUUUUCAUUUAGACUAAUUCAAUUGCCUCUUAUCAUGCGAAUAAAGGGAGCAUUUUUAGUGGAUCAAGAUUAAUGGUUUAAAUAUUGGUUUUCAUUUAGCCUAAUUCAUUUAACUAUAAAAACCUAUUUUAGAUUUCGGAAACAGGCAGUGCUGUAUCCUUAAUGUUGCUUUUGAUGUGUAUGACUGAGCAAUUACCUAGCUCUUAAUCCUUACAAAAGUAUGUUCAAUAUAUUUGGUCAUUUUGAGUUCAAAAUUGCGCUUGUAACUUUGAUUUUUUUUUUUUUUAAAGUUUGAAUGGGUUUGUAUCCUCAACUUAUUAAGUAUCCAUAGUUUUGAACAAUGUUGCUUUUGAUGUGUAUGACUGAGCAAGUACCUAGCUCUUAAUCCUUACAAAAUUAUGUUCAAUAUAUUUGGUCAUUUUGAGUUCAAAAUUGCGCUUGUAACUUUGAUCUUUUUUUUUUUUUUUUUUAAAUUUUUGAAUGGCUUUGUAUCCUCAACUUAUUAAAUAUCCAUAGUUUUGAACAAUUGGACAUGUGAAGAUGUUUGUAUUAUAAGCAGUAAACACUAUUCUAGUAGUAAAGUUCGUACUCUUGGCCCAUCUCUCUGAAUUUGAGCAAUACAAUUUGGAGCAGAAACAUGUUGGUCACUAAACUACCCAUCCGUUUUAGGCAUAUAGCAAAAUGCUAUACAAAACCUCGUUUGGUCUCAGAAUAUUUGAAAAAGGCAUAGUUAAGUGGUCCUUUAGGCUUUCUUUUUUCCCUACGUAAUUUUGCCAUCAGCACUUACUGUUGUAUUGGUGUCAAGAAAAAGGGUUGAAAGCAAGAAAGUAGAAGUGGAGACAGUUAUAUCAGGGUGAUCAAUGGUGCUGAUUGGAUGAUUAGGAAUAAAACUGUUUAAUGGAACUUGAACAGUGUACUUUAAGAAUAAAAGGAUUGUACUGAUAUAGGUGACUGACAGGCCUUAUAGCUCGGUGAUUGUUUGUUAUGCUUUAGACGUCUGGACUAUGGUUCAAAAGUUUAUGAUGAAUAAAUAUUUAUGAGAAUGAUGCUUAAAAAGUUAAUGAGAUUUUAGAACUUUCUUAGAAGAUAAUUUUGUAGAAGGCCAAAAAGGAAACCAUCAAAUGUUGGUUUCUCACACUGCGAUGCGACUUCUUGUGUGGUAUCUACGAAAUGAUUACAGUUGCAGAAUCCCCUUUUAUUAAUCAUUUUUGGUAUUUAUAUUUCCCUGUUUUAUAUUUCAUAGGACCACACUUCUUCAUGUGAGAAUUGGAAACAAGCAAGUUAGAGGAACAGGCCUUUUGCCAGUUAAUGCAUGUGUGUGAAGUGAAAGUGGGUAACCGCUGGUUGUGAAGGCAAAAUGAGCUUGGUCACACCAGCCCCCUUGAUUUUGAGUUUGGUGAUCUUAGAUUGAGAAUUAAGCCUAAGAUGUGAAGUACUCUUUCCAAUUUUUGGUGCCCUGAGAGCUAUAGAUUGCUUUAGGUGCCCUGAGAGAGAGAUACCAAGAAAAUCAUAAUGCCGUAAAUCAUCAUAGCUACAAGUGUUGAGAUUCUGAUUUACUUUUGGCUUGCCAUUUAAUAACUUGAGGUUGAAAGCCCCUUUCAGCAAGGGUCUCAGCAGCCAGCCAGAGGAACUAUCAAUAUUAUGAAUUGUGAAUUGGAACUAUCAAUUGAUACCACACAAUUUAUGAUGGUUAGAAGUGAGAGUUUGCUGUCUGUCUGUUUGAUUUAGUGUAUACUCGUGCAACUCGAGUACUUAUUUUUCAGGGAAAAAAACAAAAAAGAAAGAUGAAAAAGGAUUAGCUAAGGCCAAUUUCCAUCUGGAGGUGAAAAGAUGAGAUGUCUUUGGUUGUUCUUGUUGAGCUUUUUGAAUAAGAUCAUGUCAUUUUUGAAUUAUCAACGUGCCUUAUUCAAUGAAGAAUUGGGGUAAUACAUUUGAAUUUGUUCAGGAGUCGACAUGUUUUGAUUAAAAAUCUAAUAUCUUCAAUAAUUCAGGAUUAGUAUUUAUACAAAAUUGUGAUGAGGGUGACGCAAGGAGUCUUUAUAUGAUGAUGCAGUUCAGAGUUCCCCACUUUGACAUUCUCGAUUUAUAAUAUUAUUUAAACUAGGCUAACUGCAUGGUAUUUUUCAUAAGAAUCUUGCAUCCUAUCGGGCUUGAGGCUAAAUGUCAGAAUAUCUCAUUUGAAUGGUAUGUGGUCCACUUCAAUUUAACAUUGUUUAUCAGAAUGUUCAACUUCAAUUCAGCACUAUUAUCAGAUUGCUGCUAUGUGUACAUCCAUUCGCACGAAUAUGCUUCUCCAUCUAAACGGGGGUAAGUUAAAAGUUUUGCUUUCUAAUCUUGUGCAGUUGGAGAAGGAAGCCCUUGCUAAAGGAACCCCAAUAGGACAAGCUCUUGAUAUUGAAAUUCCACCUCCCCGUCCCAAAAGGAAACCAUGUAAUCCAUAUCCUCGAAAGAUGAGCAUUGGUCUGCCUACUUCCCAGGUGGAAUCAAAGGAUGGAAAAUUAGGGAAUCCAAGUUCUUCUCUGCCCCAGGCUGAACACAUACUAGAUCUGGAGAAAGAACCAGCUGCUGAGGUAUUUACUUUGCACGGUAUUAUCUCUUUUCAGUAUUUAUUGAAUUAUAAAUCAUCAUCUCGGGUUUUAUUGGUUUAUUUGCCUGUCAGACAUUAUGAAUUUUUUUCCUAUUUACUGCAUUUAUGUCAGAAACCUGAGGGUGAGAAGUUUGAAGAUGCUAAGGAAAAUCAUGAUGAGGGUGAAUCCAAUAAAUGUUUCAACCUUCUCCAAGCAUCUCCUGGUAUCUCCCCAUCUUCAGCAAACACAUGCUCCUCAACAAUGGCUUCAGGAAAAUCGUCUGUCCUUAAGGAGUUCGUGCCAAUUUUCAAUGAGGUGGUCAAUAGGGAUGAAACUAUUGAAUCCUAUGUUACUGUUGAAGCCGGACCAAAUCAGAAUUCAGACAAAUUUUAUACCAUACAGUCAUUUGAGGAGAAUGGCACUUGUAACAGCAGAAAUUGGGCAAAUGCACACUCUUUAAAUGAUAAACCGGCUCAAAACAAAGGAAAUGUACCGGAACAAUCUGAAAAUAUUGACACCUCGCCAAAAAAUGGUGUACAAUCUCCGAAGAGCCAACCCAGACAUGUUGCGGUGCACAUUCUUGAUGGGAGCUUAAGAAUGAAUGCUCCGAAUGUUUCUGCCCAUAUGCCAUAUGAGGAAUCCUCAUUUCAUGAGAUCGGUGGGGUUAAUUCAAACAUAUUCUCUACUCUUUCUUCAUCUGCUACAUCUCAGCAUCAGAGCAGUGCAUCCAGGUUUUCCAUUAGCCAGCCAUUUGUCGGUUUCAAUCCUAUCUGGACUCCAGUCCAUCAAGAAGAUUACCAUUCAUUCCUGCAUGCGUCCUCUACCUUCUCAAAUCUAAUUGUAUCUGCUUUAUUACAAAAUCCAACGGCUCAUGCUGCAGGAAGCUUUGCUGCUAGUUUGUGGCCAUGCUCAACCACAGAAGCUCCUGUGGAGUCACCUGGAGGAAGUACAGGAGGAUUUACAGCAAGACAGAUGAAUGCAGCUCCAAGCAUAACAUCAAUUGCCGCGGCCACAGUGGCAGCUGCAACUGCAUGGUGGACAGCCCAUGGGCUUUUGCCACUUUGUGCUCCAUUUCACAUGGGUUUAAACUAUGUGCCUGUUUCAGGCUCCGCAGUUCCUGCAGUUACCAAUCAACCAAGAGUUGACAUUACUGAAAGAAGAGAAGAAAUCAGUGGUCCUCCCUUGGAUGCUAAACAUCUGGAACCAGAAUUUUCUGAAGCUCUGCAAGAGCAGCAUUCAACCUCAAAAUCACCGACUUUGUCAUUGUCAGAUUCUGAGGAAAGUAAAGGUCUGAAUUCAAGUAAUAAAUCAACUGCUAAAAAAACUGAUAGUGCAGCAGUGACUGAUGUUAAUGAUUCAAACAAGCCAAAGGGUAGGAAACGGGUAGACCGCUCUUCAUGUGGAUCAAAUACACCUUCGAGCAGUGAAGUAGAGACAGAUGCUUUGGAGAAGCUUGAGAAAGGAAAGGAAGAGUUAAGGGAACCUGUUGUAAGUCAGCCUAUUGCUGAUUCUAGCGGUCGACGAAGUAGAAGCUCCAGCAGUACAAGCGAUUCUUGGAAGGAGGUUUCUGAGGAGGUACUCAAAUUCCCCUCUUUGUGCUCGACUCUGUCACUUUAUUUGCUUUUCCUUUUCAUAUGUGCUUUUGUUUUGCUCACUUUGUUUGCAGGGCCGGCUGGCUUUUCAGGCUCUAUUUUCCAGGGAAGUACUGCCACAAAGCUUUUCUCCUCCACAUGAUUCAAAGAAUAAAGGAAAGAACACUAAUGAGAAAAAUAAGGAUAACGCAGAUGAGAAAGGUGACGAGGGAUAUCUGCUAGACCUCAAUGGGAAGAUGUGCAUGAAUUCUGCCAUUGAUCAAGAAUUGGAGAAUAAUUCGAGUUUAAGAUGUUUAAACAUCACGGAAGGGGACUACUGACUACGGGAAAACUGAAAGUGCGUCGGACAGGAUUUAAACCUUACAAAAGGUGCUCUGUGGAGGCCAAGGAGAACAGGUUGGUAUGUGCUGGAAGCCAAGAAGAAGAAAAAGGUACGAAGAGAAUACGGUUGGAGGGUGAGGCUUCCUACUCAUUGAACAUGCAACACAGAUGACAAAGAUCUUUGCAUGUUUCAGAGUGCAGCAUGUUAUUUGUGCUCUUAAUUGCUUCUCAUAACCUAAUUUUGAAUUUUUCAAGUCUAAAAUUGCUGAAAAUCAGAAGUAUCUAUUUUGGUGCUUUUUUUAAUUGCAAUUUCCUAAAACCAACCACCUUUUACACAAUCGAGAAUAAGAGACCACCUUCUUGAUUUUAGGAAUGAAUAAAAAUGGCCAACUAAUGACCUAGUUUUAGUGCACAGUUAUGGAAUCGAAUUGGAACAACACCCAAAAAAAAAAAAACAACCACAACUUCAUUAUGGGUUUUUUUUAAUCUAUACCCUCUCUCUAGGCACAAGAUAAUAUAUUUUACUAAAAAGAUAAGUUGGGUUCAUUACAGAACCUCUAAAAUUAGAACCCAUCCUCUAAUUUGCAUCUAUGCAUUCGCUCGACAAAUAUUUGUAUUUUCACAGAAAAAAACUUGAUACAAAACCCACUUUUUUUUUUUUUUAAUCAUUUGUGCCCUUAGUAGGACUCUUAAUUGUAAAAUGUACGUGCUCAUUUUAUCUUGAACCUGUAAUAUCUUUUAUGUAUUACAUUUAUGUGAAUAGAAAAUUUAAGUUAGGAGAAAAAGAAAAUUCAAUCAAAAAAAAAAUCGUGCAGAUGAAUCAACAUUCAUACAUAUAUAUAGAAAACGAUCGAGCACUAGAAAAUGAAUUUCAGGCGUACUAGAAAACGAGCACACUCUUGUUGGAAAAUGAUUACUUCAAUGAUGGUUAGGUUGGUUUCGACCCAUGAAGAAACUUGAGCAUGCACGAUGCAGUGUUCAAGAGCAAAAAGUGAUAUAUGUGUGUAUGUAUAUACGUACUACUUACUGAUGACAUAACCUUCGGCCCGUAUGUUCCAACUUUUUUGGACGCACGCACAGGAGGAUUGAGAGGGACAUUACUUUAAAAUUAUUAGGCGGAGCCCCAAGAAUAUGACAGCGGUAAUGUAUAAUUGUAUUCACUUGAUGUUAUAGGCAAUUAGCUAGCAACUUGCAUGUAAAUUGUACUAAGCUUUUGAUUUAACAACACUGUUUGUUUGUGUCAAUCCUUUGCAGCUAGCCCGAAGAAAAAAUGCACUAUCACGAAGGGCCUAAGAUUAGUACCAUGCGUUAUUGAUUCGUUCUUAGCAGUAUUUUAUGAAUAUAAGUUAUAUGUAUAUAUAUAUAAUUAAUUUUAUAUACAGUAUAUACACUAUCAUCAUUAGAUGUGUGACGCAUGUGCAAAAUUUAAAUUUAAAAUUUGUUCAUGUGUCAUCCAUUCAAUCGUAAUAGUGCACAUAUAUAUAUAUAUAUAUAUAUAUAUAUAUAUAAAGUCAUGUAACAGAAAUCUUGAUUGUAAACGAUUUGGAAGGGUUAGAUCCCAAGCCCAACAUGGGGGCCGGGAAAAUGUAUUAUAGCUUAUUUUGAGGAUGAUAAGAUGAAGUAGGAUUAAUGCACAAAGAGAUGCGAGCCAUCUUAUGAAUUGGGAUUAAUGCAUGAAUCGACGUGUUCAAAAUGCUUUAAGUCAAACUUGUUACUUAUAAAUAAAGGUACUAUUUAUCAAUUCAAAAUUUUAACAAUAAUAAUGUUACUCUCAUUCAUAAAACUUUACGUCCCCACAAAGUUCGAACCAGAGGUGGCUUAUACAUGCUCUUAAAUUGACUCUAGCUCUUAGGUUGACGUAGCACUUAGUUCCGUCCUUCGUAACCUUUUUUUUUUUUUGUUUUUUAUUUACAAAAAAAUUAUUGCCUUCAUAUCCAUUUAUUAAUUUGAAUAAGACGACCCUAUUGGAUGCAUGACCUAGGUAAGCUUUACACCCUAUUCCAAUUCAAAUGGAAAAUUGUGACGCCCUAUCCACUGUAACGUGUGGUCCUAUAAAAAUACUUAGUGUGUUGGCGUGAUUUUAUCUCUCUUAGUUAUAGUUUUUCGUAUCAGUAAUUUAAAUGGUAAUCAUAUAUAUAUAUAAUAUGUAUAAUAUAUGUAUGUAUGUAUUAUAGGCACACGUGGAUGCUACAUUUCAACUCCCUAACACAUUGUUGUCCUCCAGAAUCUAGCAAAAACUCGACAACUUGUAGAUCAUUCCAUUCGUUCUAUUUUUCCUUAUUCGUCCACUUGUAAAGCAUAGAAGUAUUCCUUAAAUUUGUGCUCCACCGGGAAAACGAAGUGAAAAGUAUAACAUAUAAAGAAGUAUGUCAUCAAUUACAGUAUUCAUUAACAGGCCAGCGGCAACCAUGGAACCGUUCCAUUGGUCACCAAUGUGCAUUGGGUAAUUGUUGCAUGUGCAGAUACAUAAUAUCAAGCCCCCUCAUUAUUGUAAAGCCAAAUGGUCGUCGCUGCAGGAGUUGACCAAGUCUGAUUAGAUUAAUAGUAGGAAAUUGGACGUUUGGAGGCUAAUGAUUUGCAUCAGAUUGAAAUGACAAAUUAUUGGCACGUUAAUUUGCUGUUUACAUCCCGGAACCGGAGCCUGAGUGUAGGGCUGCAAAAUGCUUGUGGCGACAAUUAUUGGGCGAUUGUCUGUAGCAGCAGGUGAACGACUAUAGGCUGCGCGUGCGUCGGGGGUUUAUAAUAGUCGAUGAAUAUCAAGGGUUUAAUUAAUUAAUUAAUGAAGCUGCUGCAGCUGGUCCCCUCUUUCAGAUUUUUAUUUAUUUAUUUAUUUAUUCUGUGGACUGCUUUCGACACCCUGAAUUGCCCCUUGGCCCUCGUCUCAUAGCCCUGCCACUAUCACCUAUAUAUACAUAUAUAUCAUAUCCCUGUCGAUUGUCAAUUUUUGUCAAAAGGAUUAGAUGAAGAGAAAAAAAAAAAAAAAAAGUCAUUAGUCAUUCACAUUAUUUUAAAAGACAUUGCUGAGGCGAGCCUCAAAUGCCCCAAAUUUUAGGGGCAUUUUUGUAAUUUUAUUAAUUUUGAAUUUUUAUUUUAUCUUCCUUAUCUUUGUUUCCUAUCCUUAUUAUUAUUUAAUAAUUUUGAAGAAUGAUUCCAUUUAUUUUUUUUCUGUGGAAAUAGUUUUGAAAAAAAAAUACAAAACAAAAGCAUCUGUGACUUUGUUUUCUUUUUUUCUUUUCCUUUUCUUUGAUCCCAAAAUAUAACUAUUUUUUAUUAACAUGAUUUUAGAUGGCUAAUGUAUGAGUUAGAGUUGUGUUGUGAUUUUACUUGUUAGACAACAAUAAUAUUUUUGUAAUUUCCUUAAUUUUAUCAAUUUUUAUAUUUAUAAGUAAUAUAUAUAAACACAUAUGUGCUUGAAUAUUGUAAUUCUGUAGCAUUAUUGUAUAUUUUAUUUUUUAUAUAUUUAAAAAUAAAAAUUUUUGUGAGACUUACAUCCCUUACCUCGGGGUUUUCGCUCCGUUUAGGAAGAUAUAAAAUGGCACGUCAGAUGCUCUCAUCUUUUAAAACAUUGGUUUGAAUGUGUGUACGUCUAUAUAUAUAUAUAUAUCUUACUAUAAGAUAAACAAAUGGUCAUAGUUACUAUAGCAGUCUCUUUUGCUGACACGUGGCAUUUUGUGUGAAUUUUGAACUUUCUCUUUUGCUUUCUCUAUGGAUUUGGAAUCGUUUAAAUGUGCUCAAUGACCCAAAUUAUAUUGCAUUUACUAUUUCGUUAUAAGGUUGAAUUACUUUUAGUAGACUUUUCAAUCUGUACAUUUUGAACAGAUAUAAUUCAAUUAGAAUUUAUAUUUAUUACUAUUUACAUUAACAUUUUCAACUUAUAUUUGACAAAUUAACUUAAGAUUUAAUUAUUUCUGUUCGAGUCUUCAACCUUAUCAUUUAAAUUUAAUUUGUCAAAAUACGUUAUCAUUUAAAGUUAAUGUAAAGUAAGAGAUUAUUUAAAAUUUAUUCUAUCUUAUGAUAAAGAACAAGAUUAUUAUUUCUACUCAAUGCAAUGUACAUUUCUCUGUGUCAAUUUUAUUUUGAUUUGUUCCUGUUCAAAUAUUUAGCAACAUUUGACUUUACGUUUAUUCAUAUGUUUAUUGUCUAAAUUUUGAGCUUUCUCUUUUGCUUUCUCUAUGGACUUGCAUUUCUUUAAAUGUGCUCAAUGACCCAAAUUAUAUUGCAUUUACCAUUUCUUUAUAAGGUUGAAUUAUUUUGAGUAAACUUUUCAAUCUCUAUAUUUUGAGCAUAUAUAAUUCAAUUAGAAUUUAUAUUUAUUACUAUUUACAUUAACAUUUCAACUUAUAUUUGACAAAUUAACUUAAGAUUUAAUUAUUUCUAUUCGAGUUUUCAACCUUAUCAUUUAAAAUUAUAUUUGUCAAAAUAAGUUAUCAUUUAAAGUUAAUGUAAAGCAAAAGAUUAUUUAAAAUUUAUUCUAUCCUAUUAUAAAGAACAAGAUUACUAUUUUUGCUUAACGCAAUGUACAUUUUUGUGUGUCAAUUUUAUUUUGAUUUGUUCAUGUUCAAAUAUUUAGUAACAUUUGACUUUAUAUUUUUUCAUGUUUUUAUUGUCAUUUAAAGUUAUAUAGUUGAACUGACAUUGCCACUUAAUAUAUUCCAAGGAAAGAGACUCCUGUGCUUUGUUAAGAAAGCAACUCCAAGAGAAAAAACAAUCAAAGAAACAGCUUUUACCAUUAUCACAAGCUAUGAAGCGGAACAAGUCUGAGCCGGCCAAGAGACUCAAAUGAACCUUCAUAGUGAUUAUGCAUAAAAUUAGUUUCCAACAAUAUAAUGCUUAUGUGCUUCAUAACUGAACUACUUGUGUUUUAAUUUAAUUAUCUUGUAUCUAUUUAUCGUUUAUGUUAAUGUACUUCGACUUAGCUGCUUUGACUUACUACCUAUGUAUGUUUUAAUUUUGUUAUCUUGUAUUUGUCUAUCCUUUAUGUUAAUGUACUUCAAUUUAAUCUCUUUUGCCUUGAAAAGCAAAUUUACUGAUAAGUUAUAAAUCCAAUUCAUAUAUAGAUGUCCCUCUAUCAAACACAAAAAACUUUUGCAAAAAUGCUAACCAUUAUUAAUCCUCCUGCUUUUCAAUUUCUUUGCGUAUAUUUGCUGAACAAAUUAUACAUAUAAUUUUAAAACAAAAAAGUAUAUAAGUAUAUUAUUAAUUUGUACACUGAAUUAAAUUUGUUAAAUAAAAAAUGUAGACAAUUAUAAAUCCAUUGACAAUGACAAAAAAAUGUAUAUUUGAAAGCUAUCAUUAAAAGAGGAAAAAAAAAAGCAUCUUAAUAAAAUGCAAUAAAGACAUAUAUAUUUUUCUCAUCAAAUUUGCAUGCUAUACUUGAUAAUUUCAAUUAGCAUUAAUGACUCAUAUUUUACUCAAAAAAAUGACAAAGUUCAUUUGUUCAAAUUUAAAUACUGAUAAUCCAAUUUCACUCCAUUUCAGUAAUAUAGAUAAUUUACGUAUACUUUCACACAUGACACUCUACUGACAAAUAUUUCAUCAAAUUUUGCUAACCUUAAACGCUUCAAGGCGGGUACUAUAGCACAGCCAACCCUUGCUAGUAUAUAUAUAUAUAUAUAUAUAUAUAUAUAUACACACAAGUGAAAUAGAUGUGUGCACAUGCGCGUGCAGAAGAAGAGAGUACAUGUUACGUCCUGUACGUUCGCGUGUUCCAAUUGGCAUUUUGGGCUUAUUACUUCUGCAAAUGACGACGAUUAACGAAAGCUCCUCUUCCGUCCUGCUGUGCUGUGGAUAAGAAACGUACGUGUGAGAGAUGCAAUUUCUAUCUUGUGUAUCUGUGACACCUGCGCGCGCGCUGUCCUCAAAGAUUAUUAGGAUGUUUGGUGGAAGAACAGUACUCGUACUCGAGAGGGGUGUUCCUGCUUUCCCCAGAAGACCUAGUAUUCAUUGUAAGUACUGAACUAAUUUAUUUAUAGUCUAUAUAUACCCAAAAAAACAAAACAAAAGCAGAGCACCUAUGGCUAUGGAGUGUGGAGGCUUUGACAACUGAAAACGAUGUGAUGAGCAAUGUUGGCCUCUCUCUUCCGGGCGCGAUAGAGACUUCCUACCUGUGAACCUACGAAUAUCCCUCCAGACAUUUAUGGUUUUUAUUCAUUCAUUAAUUGAUUGCGGAAGAGUAGCUAGCAUCAUCAUUGAUCGUGCACAACCUGCCUUGGGGGUCCAGCCAUCACCAGCCGCUUCUGAUUUGAUCCGCUGACACCCCAUGUUUGGAUAAGUAACACAGAUGUCAGUAGUGUUGUACACUCUGAUUUGUCGUAAAUUAUGCCUUAUUAUUAUUGUUAGUGCUAUUUUUUUCAGUCCUCAAGUCCCUAUAGCCUACAUCGUCUUCUUGCUGCAUGCAUGUCUCUCUCCAACUCUUCUCUUGGUACUUGGUCCCCCUUUUUCUUUUAGCAGUAAUGUCAUGUUUCUGGUCUCAUUUGAACUUCGUCUCUCUUUGUUUCAAUCCAUUGUCUAAUUUACAAAAUUGAAGAAACUAUGCAUUCUUUCCCUAUAAGUAAUCAAUUACAAAUUAAUUUCAUGUAUUGUCCAAUUUAAGAGAACCAUUUAUAGAUUUUUACAGUUUUACGCAUCGCUACUCUUCUUGAAAGGCCACCCAAAACCCAGCCUUGAUAUAUGUGUAUAACCGAACCAAAUCGCUUCGCUGCACAAGAGUACAACCACUGCCCGACGGAAAACGAAAAGGAUAGCAAGAAAGAACAUCUGUAAAUUGAUCGAUCAUGACCUGCUGCAAAAAACACAAAAGCCAUAUGUAUCAUACUUAUUAUCUUUCACUAAGUGGGAGAAUUGAAAGACCACCAAGAAUAGGGGAAAAAAAAAACCACUAGGGAUUGGAUGUUCGUCUGAAUUGAUUCUUCGGGUGGAGGACCACCUGAAGAAAGAAGGGAAGGGAUGCAACUUGGGUAAAUCAUUUAAAGCUAAUCGUUGCUGCCCAUUGCUUUGUUUUGUCUGGGUGCUGCGAGUAAAAUAAGUAUUGAGGCCUGAAUUAAGAAGCGGGAAUAAGUGGAGGUGUAAGUAAACACGGGGAAGGGAAAAUAAAACAGUUUUGUGAGUUGGCCAUUUGGGCUUAAUUAGUUAAAUUAAAUACUGAAUAGUCAAUAUUACUAGUGACUUUCAAGAAAAUGAUCACAUCUCGUGUCAGCACUCCGCCUCCAAAUUUAAGUACAGUUUGGGCACAUAAACAAAUGAUGAUCAACAACUUUUUAGCUUAUAUGUACGCUUGGAAAAUCUACAAGUAUUAUUGUACAGCAUAUAGUCGGCGGCAGUCGAUCAUCGUUUUGCAAUGUACGCCUGUAUCGCUUCCAUAAUAUGACAGAAAUCAGUCAAGACUAUCUAACGUGAAGCAUAUUCUCCUAAGAUUCGUGCUGUUAAUUAGACAGCAACCUGGGAAUACCUUUAAUUAGUUAAUGUAAAUUCAGAAGCAAAUCCCUUGGGACCCAACUAGCAACAGAAAAGUAAUUCAUCAGUUCUUCCUGUACUGAUCAGUGGACUCAUCUUCGUGAACUGAUGAAGUAUUUCUUGAGGAUCAUGCUCGACAUUAAUGCUGCUACAUUCUCGAUAUAUUUCAGAAGCACACCAUAUGCUACGAAUACCUGCGAGUUAUUUGUAGUAGUAGUAUUGUGUUCCCCAAUAAUAAUGCCAUUCCUUGUUACGGAUAUUAAAGUGCUCUUUGGGUUACGAUAAUUGAUUUGGGAGCUUAUACAAAAUAUUAGGGUUAUUAUUACUUUACCUUCUUAACAUCCGGCACCACUAUCAAUUUUCUCCUUAACGUUACUUUUUAAUUACUUUACCUCCAAGACUAACGCUCAAUCUUAAAAGAGUUUGUUAAGUAAAGUGAAAAGACACGUUUAGUCCUUAAAAUUAUUAUCACUUUAAUCCCAUAAACUAUGGUCUCAUUAUUAAUUUACCCCAUAGAGUUAUUUUUUAGGCAAUUUAUCCCAUCAUUAAACGGAGUUAGCAAGUUAAAAAAUUUUAGAAGAAAGUACCCUCCUCUUUGUAUAAUAAAAAAUUUAGAGUGAUUUUUCUUCUUUUUAGUAUAAAAAAAGUUGAAGUAUUAAUCUUUUUCUUCUUGACAAUCUUAUUAAUAUUGAAAAAAAUAGAAAGAUGGGGAGAGGGAGAAAGAGAGCUCAAUUCAUUUUUUUUUUUAAAAAUACAAAUAAAAAAGAAUUAAAUACUUUUAUUAUUUUAAAAUUAUUUCACUUAUCUGUUUACUACCAAAUUUCAAUUUUAAUUCCGACAACCUUAAAGUAAUACGAUAAAGUUACACUCUUCUUUAUUUUAUUUUAUUUUUUUUUGUAAAAUCUAAUUUUAUAUCUCCUUCUUUCCUGUUUCCUUUUUUUUCCCUAGUAUUAAUAAAUGUGAAAAAAAUUUGAGAAAAUCUGUUUAUUUUUGUGUUUUUGGAUCUCUUAAAGUAAAAAACAAAGGAAGAAUAAACAUUCUAAUUUUUUAUUUUUAAUUAUAUAUAAAAGGGUAAAUAUAUUUUAAAAAAUUUUACCAUACUAGUUAGAUUAACGAUGAGAUAAAAUACGUAGAAAAUAAUAUAAGGAAUUAAAGUGAUUGUAUCACUAUAAUUUAAAGGGAUAAAGUGAUAAUAAUAAUAUAGUAAUGCUAUAGAGUAAAAGUGUAUUUUUGUCUAAAAUUUUAUAACGAGUUGAGUUGAAUUACUUAUGGGGGCGAAGUGACUAAAAAAUAGCGUUAGUAAGUAAACUGAUAGUAAAUGAUAUAAUUUAAGGAGAUAAAGUGAUAAUAGCCCAAAAUAUUAAGAUCGAUUGACCGUUGCUUUUUCAUUCUCAUCCCUGUUGAUAACAACGUUUUCUUUUUAGACCCCACCCAAAAGUGAAAAGUGAAAAGGCAAAAAAUCCCAACAAGAUGACUUUUGAGGUUAAUUUGGGAUUAGGUUUAACUACUAAUUCUUAAAAUUUCUGACCAAAAAAAAAAAAGAUGACUCCUAUUUUCUCCCCCUUUUGAACGUAUGCGGACGCCUGUUUCGUCUCUCAACAUUUGACAUGAUUUUUAAUUAUUUCUUGCAGGCGUCUCAUCCUUUGCAUCUGCGUUUUCUUUUGUUGAGUUGCCAUUUUUCGUGCCGUGUUUUCAACCAUCGGCCCCUGCCACAUUUCACUAAUGCAUAUGCGAGGAUUUAAGCUUCGAGAUCAGAUGCUUAUAACCUAAAUAACAAAUUAUAACAAAUCAGAUCCAGUAAUGAAAUUCAAGCGCAGCAGAUGUGAAGGAGAAGCAGAAAAACAGAAAGGUUUGUGGUUCGGUUUUGAAGGUAUACAACUUACAACAAACACAAUGGACUGCAAAUUAACAUUAUUCCAAUGGCAGACGCAAGUCAAUCAAGGGCAUCGGUAUAACAACACCAUCAAAUGGUUUGCCUAUUCCUUGUUCUUGUACUGGCGGAGAGCUAAUGCUAAUCCCAGGAUGAUCAGGGGGAUCAGGAAUUGCAAUAUCUUAACCAAACCUCCAAAAGUCUGGAUUCCUGCAGAAGCCGCUGCUUCUUCAGUUGUGUCUUCAUGUUCAACUGGAAGAGUCGAUAUGUCUACAUCACCAAUGUAGUAGUCAACCAGCAUUUUCCUUGCCUCCUCACUGUGGUUCUGUUCGUCAAAAUCAAUUGUGGCAUCUUUCCCUGCAAAAAUUCAGAAAGAGUCUUGGCUAGGUAUAAAAACUGAUAACAUUAACAUUAGAAGAUCAUCAUGAAUAGACUUUUAAGCUGGAUCAAUAAGAUGAACCUCUCACCAGUUACUGCAAGCAGGGCCUCAUCACCCCCGGGAUGGUCAUCCAGAAAUAAGGACACAUCGUACACCUAAAACCAAAUGCAGGAUUACAAGUAAACAACAUAACCACUGGAAUGUGUAUCGCAGAAGUAUAGCAACAAAUUAUGGGCCGUUACACUAAGGCACUUAAGAGUCAUCUUUUCAUCAAUUAUUGGUAAAUCCACAACUUAGAACGGUGGCCUAAGCCUCUUUUACAUUUGCUUUCUCCAUGCCACUUCAUACAACACCACCAGCACUGCUGCCAAGAUUUCUUGGUUGAUGUCAUUUUCACGUCUCUGUCAUUUGGGAUUGGAAACUUAUUUGAGCUUAAAUGACAGCAAGCGGGAGCACAUACCACUCGAUUGGAUGAAGAGAAGGCUCAAGAGCCAGAUUCUGGAGUGACAAAUAGUCUACAACAUACAAAGAAACUCAAGUGCGAUUUUUUCUAUGUUUAUAGGUUUUAUCUAUGACAGGCUAGUGUAGCAAAGAUAGCUGUAAGGUCUGUACCAAAACACUAUCAAAAAUCCGAAUUUUCAAAUAAACGGAAGCUGAAACAGCUAGCAUCUAAGCAUAUUGCAGGUCUCUCUAUUCACACAGCUGGAACACCAAUAAAUAGAGAUGGAAACUGCAUGUGUAUAGGAUGAGGACAGAUCACUGCCAAAUCCUUAAGAAGGCACCCGUCAGAAAAUGGUUGCUUUAAGAUUGUGCUUUGCAAUCUUAAGAAGCUCACGGGAUAAAGAAGCUGAGAAGAAGCUAAUAAAUCUAAAAAAGCAGGUGCUUAAUGAGUAAAGAUGGGCGAAGACACUGCCCACCUCCUAAUCUUCAUUGGGAGGCUGCUAAUUGUUGGAACUUAGAUACUGGGGGCCAUAGUAUCCAACAGAUAAAGCCAAAGGACCCCAAAGUUUAAUCAGAUGUGUGAGACAAGAAGGUUGGCAAUUUUCUUCCCAAUUCUGAUUACAUUAAAUUAAAAACAGAACAAGAGAGCAUUCAAAGAAAGUGGAAGCCAAACUAGUCAGUGAAAGAUUACAAUUCUGGUAUACUUUGUUGUUUGGGAAUUUAAAAUACCAAAGAACAAAAAAUCAGAAGCUUCCUUUUCUUAAUGUCAUGGAAGAUGAAGCAUUUCAACUGUCUCAAGUCUGCACUCUACUGCACGUAGAACACAAUUCUGGAACCAAGAUAUUAGCAUUUCAACCCAAAAGUGCAUAGAGAAUUUGAAGAGUAAGACACAGAUACAAAGACAAAAUUUAUGUAUCCAAAAUUGUCGAGGCCAAAUGGAUUCCUACCAUUUUGAAGUCUAAUUGAUAUUUCUUUCUUUUAGCAGUUUAAACUCCAAACUUGGGCAAGUUAAAUUUGAUUUCUAAAGAUAGAUUUUUUUGUUAUUCUGAUGUUCCAUAUCAAGGAUCUUUUUAAGCUAAUUCAUUGAUUCAUCUAGAAAGUCAGGGAGGGCUGCUUCCUCUGAAAACUGAAGCCCUCCUUUGAAAACUGAAUUUAGCUUUCUUCAUUCGUUGGAGAUGCAUCAAAAUUUUGAAUUUAAAGUAAUUGAGGUUAUAUCCCCGUUGUAAGACGCAUUUCAAAUGUCAAUUAUUCUAUAACAAGAUCCAGAAUCUCAAGUCAUAUCUAAUGCGCUUAUCAGACAAACCCAUGGUAGAACCAACAACCUGUUAUCCUGGGCCUUCUGCAAGGUUUUUAUACCUAAGGCAGGUUUGGUAAGCUAAAUGUCAACACAAAGAAGCAGCCUGGGGAAAGAGAACAAAACCACCAAUGAGUAGUGAGCACAGGCUUAUGCAUUGCCUUCAAAAAUAUGGCUAUGAUCACUGGAAGCACCAAUCCACCUUCUCCAAAUGCUAAUGUUUAAAUCUACCCAAAUUGCAUCUUCAUUUCAGUUUGGCCUUUCAGGAAGAUUUCCUUAAAAGGAAAAUCAUUGGCUUUAGAGUGUAGGUUUUAACUCUGUGACUCGAGAGAUCUCAGUUGCAACAACUUGAGCUGACUUUGAGAGUAUUGAGCACCAAGAUAAUUUAGUUUGUGACAGUAAUUGAUCAAAUGGUCCCAAAAGUAAGUAACUCAUUUCUGCAGUUUAUGUGCUGGACUCAGAUCCAGGAAAAUUUUCUAAUAGAUAUGAAGGAUCCAGGAGAAGCGGCUUAUGACAAGUAACUCUUUCUGCAGUUUAUGACAAGCACUUGUCAUGCUACACUGAAAUGUUUAUCCAGGAUAUGAAGGACCCAGAGAGGCAAUAGAUAUGGCUAUGCAACAUAGAUACCAUUAAGAGAAAAGAAAAAGAGGAAGGGGCAUUUUGGAUUCUUGCUUCUAUUACUGAUAAUUAAAAGAAGAACAUGGUGAUUCUUGAUCCCACAAGUGAUCUUUAGCUUCUAAAGCAAUAUUACGAGAGAAGAAAAGGACCCAAGCAAUACUCCUGAAUCCAAAUUCGAAUUCAUUUGCGACUCGAACAAUUCCCACCAAGGAAGGAAUCAAAAUGGGUUAACAAAAAUAAAAACGUACUAUAACUUUAUCCUAGGCCUUGCCUACUUUUACCAACUACACAUCUUCAAACUUGUUGAGAAGAGGAAAACGAAGGGGACGAGGAAAAAAAAAAUGAAAGACCAGAAAGAAUUGAUGCAAACCUUCCCGGAGAUUAUAAGCCAGGUGUCCCCCCUUUUGUGGUGCCUUGCAACCUCAUCAAAGACAUAAACUCUACGAUCCGUCAUCUCUUCGAAUCUGCUCCAACGAGAGAGGAGGCCAGCAAGUUAAUGUUAGUUCAUAGAAGCUUCUUACGACCUACAUAUUAUGUAAAGGAGCAUUAGCAGAGACUCACAUGAUGAGAGGGAGAGCCCAGAAAAGCUUGUUAUGUGUAUGGCUGUUCUUUACUUUAGCAGCAGCAGCAGCAGUAGCUUUGGGCUUCGGAGUCCAGAGACAGUUGCGGUAUCCAGCGAAGUAACAGUACAAUUUUAUAAAAAUUGUUGCGGUAUUACAAGACAACAUGCUAAUACAGUAAAAAAAAAUUUUUGGAAGGAAGGAACAUGCUAAUAAUUCGAGAGGGAGAAGAAGAAUUUUACAUUCCACCCCGUGAUACUAACUAAUUAUACCACUACUACUAAGUAAUGGUACCAAGCGAGUUCUUGUCUUGUAAUUUGUAAACACCCCACCCGGGCCUAUAAUUAAUGUCCUCUUGUAAUAAUACUUGAUUAGUUUAAAAUGAUUGGUAUCAGUGCACAUAAUGUCACUACUACAGUACUACUAUUUUUGCACAAGGAUUAAAGGGACAAUAAUGAUAGAAUUGUCUGCUCUUCUCAUGUCUUAUGUCUUAUUAUGAUGAUGGGCUGGCGUGGGUUGGGGUGGGGGCACGCCUCCAAUUCAAGAAAUUAAUCGCUGCUUUAAUUUGGCCUAUAAUUAAGCAUCUUCCAUGCUUUGAUUAACCACCGCACCUGGAUUCGCUAUUUCUGGAUGGAUGCAUGGAAUUUAAUAAUAUUAGUUAUUCACCUCGUGCAUCGCACGGGUUGAUUCAGCGGCCGCGCCCACAAAACCCAUCAAUUUUUUUUUGCCAGCAACGAUACAUUUUGUAUAACCUACUCUAUCAUAAAAGAAAUGCGAUCGAAAUUUUUAUAAUUUUUCACCCUUGCACCGCACCGCACCGUUCAAUAAUUUUUUACUAAGAUUGGAAGAAGGCAUCAAUUGAAAGAAAAAAGAUCCCCAAUUUCACCAUAUUUGCUAUUGGCAAAAAUGUUCCCCUACUAAUUACUAUAGUAUAGUUCAUCUUUAUGGGCACUUCAGUCAAUGGUUGGAGUGGCUAACUUGACCUUCUGUACUUCUAUAGCAAACUAAACAAUUUAAGUAUUAUAUAUCGAUGCACUACUUUUUUCCGACCCCAGCGAAAGAAAAAAAAAUUGAUACUCAGAGUUCUUAAACAGUUUUUUUUUUUUAAUUUAGAAAAGAAGAAGAAAAAAAAAAC
rnacentral:lncRNA from 1 species